rnacentral:rRNA from 1 species
UACGAAGGGGGCUAGCGUUGCUCGGAUUUACUGGGCGUAAAGGGCGCGUAGGCGGACAGUUAAGUUGGGGGUGAAAGCCCGGGGCUCAACCUCGGAAUUGCCUUCAAUACUGGCUGUCUUGAGUGUGAGAGAGGUGUGUGGAACUCCCGAGUGUAGAGGUGAAAUUCGUAGAUAUUCGGAAGAACACCAGUGGCGAAGGCGGCUCACUGGCCCAUAACUGACGCUGAGGCACGAAAGCGUGGGGAGCGAACCGG